ensembl:lncRNA
GAAGUCCAAAAAAUGUAUUUAGGUCACUAAAGAUCAGAUGAAAACCUCUUGUGGGGUUGAAUAGGGCUUAUCAGUUGGUGAAAUUCACUACAAGUCUUCAACUCCUUUAAAACCAGAAGCUACAGUGCGCGGCUCUGAAGGUUUCUCCUGCCUGUGAACUUCCACGGUUCCAAGAGCUGGACUGCAAACUUCUAGGUUGCAGAACUCAUCAUUCUGACAGCCUGCCUGCCUGAAAUGGCUCGAAGAAGAAUGAGAGAUCCUCCUUGCCUGCUUGAUGAAGGCAGCAGCCAUGUUUUGGAAGACACAUAGCGAGGAACAGAAGGUGGGCAGCUCUAGGACAGCCUCCAGCUCCCAGCCAGCAAAAAGCAAGGUCCUUGGUCAUACAGCCUCAAGGAAUGAAUUCAGCCACAACCUGAGUGAGCUUAGAAUUGGAUCCAUCCCAGCUGAGCCUCCCAAUGAGAAUGCAAUCCAGCCAAGACCUUGACUGUGAACCUGUGGGAUCUGACACAGAAGACCCAGCUAAGCUAUUCCUGGUCUCCUGAUCCAUGAAAACUGUGAGAUAAUAAAUGUUUGUGUUGUUUUAAGUUACUACCUUUGAUCUACUCUGCUA